UAUAAAUGCAGCAGCUAAGGGUCCUGAGUGUUCACUCUUGGAAGACACCAAACAGAAGGCAAGAUGAAGUUUCAGGUUGUGGCCAUCUUUCUCCUGAUUGCUCUCGUUUGUCCAAAUGUCAAUGGACAAUUGAAACCUCCAGGACCCCCUGAUGCUCCAGCACCCCCUGCACUUCCAGAAGCCCCUGAACUUCCACCACUCCCUGGACAAUAAGCUUCUACUGAGCCAAAGGGAGUGUCUUAUUGGAGAUGCUGGAUCCUGACAAUGACGACGGAACAUGAUGACAAUGACUUGCUGCUCUAAUGCCUUCUGCGUUAUCCCUUCACCCAAUCAAAUAAAAAUGAAAAACCACAAAUUACAAUAGUACGAUUUAGAUAAAUUCUAUGAUUGUUAGUGAUUUUGUUUCCUGUGUGACAAAAAGGCCAAGGACAAGAAGAUCUGUCCUUUCACUGCCUUCGAGAGUGUCAGACGCUUUGAAAAAAUAAAAUAAAAAAUUGCAACUGCA